GAAAUGCGAUAAGUAGUGUGAAUGGCAGAAUUCAGUGAAUCAUCGAAUCUUUGAACGCACAUUGCGCCCUUUGGUAUUCCAAAGGGCAUGCCUGUUCGAGCGUCAUUUGUACCCUCAAGCUUUGCUUGGUGUUGGGCGUCUUGUCUCUAGCUUUGCUGGAGACUCGCCUUAAAGUAAUUGGCAGCCGGCCUACUGGUUUCGGAGCGCAGCACAAGUCGCACUCUCUAUCAGCAAAGGUCUAGCAUCCAUUAAGCCUUUUUUCAACUUUUGACCUCGGAUCAGGUAGGGAUACCCGCUGAACUUAAGC
rnacentral:misc_RNA from 1 species